rnacentral:tRNA from 1 species
CGGGGUGUAGAUCAGCUUGGAGUGAUCAUCUGACUGGGGGUCAGAAGGCCGUGGGUUCGAGUCCCACCACCCCGACAA